rnacentral:lncRNA from 1 species
AUUUCAUCUCAUAUUUUUGAUAUCAUUUUUCAUCUCAUUUCAUCUCAAUUCAUCUCAUCAUUUCAUCUCCUCAUCUCAUCAUUUCCUCCUUUCAUUACAACAUUUCAUCUCAUUUCUUCUCAUCUCAUUUCAAUUUCAUUAUUUCAUCUCAUUUCAUUAUUUCACCUAAUUUCAUUAUUUCAUCUCAUCUCAUCUCAGUUCAUCUGAUCUCAUUUCAUCUCAGCAUUUCAUCUCCUCAUCUCAUCAUUUCCUCCUUUCAUUACAACAUUUCAUCUCAUUUCUUCUCAUCUCAUUUCAAUUUCAUUAUUUCAUCUCAUUUCAUUAUUUCACCUAAUUUCAUUAUUUCAUCUCAUCUCAUC